rnacentral:lncRNA from 1 species
CACCGAACAGCGCCUCCAGCCUGGGGUAACACUGUUUUUUUUUUUUUUGCCAUUCCGGGGGAUGGAACUCAGGACCUUGCACUUGCAAGGCAGGCGCAGCGCCGCUGAACUACAUCCCCGGCCCUGCGCUGUGAUUUGAAGAGGUGCGCAGACGUUUGUUGUGGUCCUUCAUACUGCAUAUGAGCUGCAGCUGGAAGUAUUUAUUUAAAACUACAGAAUCCAUGAGGGGAGGGCAUUCUGACCACAGCAUGUCCUGCUGCCUUGGAGGCGGGGGUGUGCCUGCCUGCCUGGUAAUCCGCUCUCCGGUGGGCUGCUGAACGUUAGGUACAUCACCCUGCCGGUCCUGCAGAGAUCGAAGUUCAGAGCAGGAGGCAGAUGUUACAUGCACUAGAUGUAUCUGGUGCACGUGAGUGCCUGGACAAACCUGCUUCCCAAACCUAGCUAAGUUUUCACAAACUUCCCUGGGUGUUUCCCCAAUACCAAAUUUUGUUUGCUGUUGAAGAUUAGGUUGUGCCGGGUGCCCUCUAGUGGUAACUUGUUUAAUUUUAGGGUGCAAAGCUUGUUUUUCUCCUCGAGGUUGGGAGCAUGGACGGUUUGUUUUCUGAAUUACUGACUGGUAAGGUGGUUUCCCCAGAGGGCACAGCCACCCUCCGCUGGGGAGAGCAGAAGGCUGCCCGGCGUGGAGCCUGCAGGGGGCUCGCCUGUGAUGCAGACAAAGGAAAGUCUCUAGCAGUGCCCCUGCUGCAUUCAGAACACAGGGAAAACAUUACUGACUCAAACCUCAAACAGCUUGGCAAUAGCCUGCAGUGUUUUUAGCCCCUUGCUUCGUCCUCCAGCGCUAACGUAAGACAUUUGUUCAUGGUUCUUUCCCAAAGUGUUUAUAUGAACAAUGUUCACAUCAACCUGCCUAUUCCGUACACUUCAGCUGUCUUACAUAAAUAUUUUUGUUUCUGCUUUAAGAUAAAAAUGAUGAUGGAGGAAAAAUAAAGCAUCUUACAUCCUCGAGAGAGUGUAGUUAUUGUGGGAAGUUUUUCCGUUCAAAUUAUUACCUCAAUAUUCAUCUCAGAACGCACACAGGUGAGAAGCCGUACAGGUGCGAAGUUCUGUGACUAUGCCGCGGCCCAGAAACGUCGCUGCGGUACCACCGGGAGCGGCACCACAGGGACAAGCAGGGGGAUGCCAGGGCCCAGGGCAAGGGCGCGGCGGAGCGGGAGGAUGCGCUGCCCGCCUCCAGCUCAGCUCACAGACCAGGAGCUCGAAGCGAUCCUUCCACGGAGCCCAAGAUGUGAAGGGCGCCCCGCCGGCCAAGCUGCCCCGGGACCCGCCGCCUGCCCGCCUCGGUGCUCAGGACAGCAGCGGGAACCCUAGCCCGCGCCCUGCCGCCCUCGGGAGGAACCCCGGCCUGGCGCCGAUGGCCAGGAGCGGCCCCUGAACCUGUCCCGCGGGGCCCGCGACUGCACCGCGCUGUCUCUCAGCAGAGCCCUGAUCCCCAGCGUCACCUGCCCGUUCUGUACCUUCAGGACCUUCUACCCCGAGGUCCUGAUGAUGCACCAGCGGCUGGAGCACAAGUACAACCCUGAUGCCACCCGGGGCUGCCGCAGCAGGGCCCCACUCAGGGCACGGCGCACCGGCUGCCCACCCGCGCUGCAGGGCAAAGACGUGGCUCCCCCUGCCCGUGCCGCCCGGCCCCGGCCCCGCCCCGGCCCUGCCCUGCUGCACAGCCCAGGCCCGCGCUGCCCGAGAAGGGUCGCCAGGGCCCCACACCGCCGGCAAGGGUGCCCCCGGCCCCGGGCACUGAGCCCAGCACUUUAGCCCCCAGCAACCUGAAGGCCCCGCGGCCCCACCCGAGCUCCGGAGUCCCGGGAGCCUCCAGGCCACAGCAGCCGGAGGCGUUUCCGAAGGCUGGUAUGCCCUCCGGCCCGGACAAGACCAAGAGAGCCGAGACCAAGCCCAGGGCCCUGGCUGAGGCCCCUGUGCAGCCCCCUGUGGGUGGCGGCGGCAGCAGCAGCGGCGGAGGAGGCGCGACCCCGCCCGGGACUGCGCCCCAAAGAGCGAGGGCCCUGGGCUGCGCCGUGGAGAGACUACCUGUGCCACCGGCAGGCGGCCGAGCUCGGGGAGCUGCUGCCCAAGAGACUGAAGGCCAGCGUUGCGGCCCCGGACACUGAGCAGCCCGGGCCCACCUGCAGGCGGAGCUACGACCUCCCCAAGUACCAUGCACCCCGGGCAUUGCCACGCUGAUGCCGCAGGAGUGUGCGUGCCCGCCAGCGCCCUGCCACCCAAGCCCCGCUUCCUGGGCCCCGGGGACUCGGAUGCCCCGAGCGUGCAGGCCACGCAGAGGUCCGCUUGGCGGGGGCGCUGUACACCUGCGCCCCCUGGGCACCCUGCCGCUGGGCUGGCGCUGGAAGGAAAAGACCUGUGUCCUACCAACACUUAGCCACCAGCCUCCUGCAGAAGAGAAGCUACGAGAGUUUUAUUGGGAGUGCACAUUAUCGACCAAAUGACAAAAAGACUUGAUUUCCUAUUGGGGAAGAAAGGUUUUGCCGGAUGUAAGUGCAUACUCUCCGUGAAAUUAAACUUUGGUUCAUCCUCUGAGAAAGGAAAUGGUGAAGCUACUGAAAUAAGCUGUGAUUGUACUGUAUUAGAGCACGCGAGGAGCAUGUGAGGAACACUACAGCUUCGGAAGGUUGUUCUGUAACUUUUGUACCAAAUAGCAAUAAAAGCGCAGUUGGAACAGUUGGGCCAUACACAGGUGGGGACUGGAAAUCUCUAUUUUGUCCCUGAAUAAUAUUUUUAGAAUUGACCAAAUAAGUGGAGUUUUGCAUCCUUGAGCGCUGCUGAAGAGAAAUCACUGGGGCUGGGGCGGGGGCGGGGGAAAGUCUAUCAUGCUUGCAUCUCAGGUAAGAGUCUGUAAAUAUCUAAGUUGUAAACCUGCUUGUUUAAAUACUGUGUGUAUUCCUUUUCCCUGAUGGAGCUCAACACCUGUAGCAUUGUCUGCUGUUUGUGCUCAUUUAAAAAUGUUUGUUUUUAAAAAUUUUCUAAGGGUCUGUAUUGUGUCAAAUCCCCCCAACCUGUUGUCUGAACAAAAUGUUGGCGGAAGUGUCGGGCGUGGCCCUCUCUGAAGACGGGGGGCUGCACCCUGACCCCCGUCCCUCAUGAGGCGGUGUCCCUGGGCCUGUCCGGUGUCCCCAGCCUGUCCGCUGAGCUGUUUGUGGAGCUGUUUCCGUUUUUUGCCAUCUGUUUGCUUCUGUGGGAAGAUUUAGCUUUUUGGGGAGUGUUUGGCUAAAUUAAUCUAUAAAAAAUGCUAGAUUGCAAAUAGUGAGAAGCAAUUUUAAGGGAAUGAAGGGCCUUGGGGCAGAUGUUAGGUGUGUAUCUGAGAGUCGCAGCCACCAGGUAGUGCAGACGUGGAUUCAGAGUGGGAAACUAGGAAACUAACCGCUGGCCAAGCCCCCAGGGCGGGGCAGGGAACUGGGACCCCGCUGGUCUCCUGCAUAUGAGGCUGUUUCGCCCACGCACAGGCAGUUUGGGUUUUAGAUGGGAGCCCACUUGGCGUUUUAAACUCGUGUUUCUUUGAUGUGUUGUCCAUGGCUGAGUUUUCCCAGCAGUUCAUGAGUUUAGCAACCACAGAAUAUUUUAUGAAGAAACUAUUUCAAAGAUAAAUUUGCACUGCCCAUUUUUUCUGCCCUGCUCCUCUGUGGAGGGCGAAGUGCUCUAAGAAGCCCAGUGUUUCCUUAGGCAGCAGCACGCUGUCCUGGGUCUGCCUCCCGGUGUGGGCUCCCAGGUCGAGCCGGAGUGGCACGCUCGCCCAAGUCCUGUUCACAAGCUGAGCCAUAUGUACAUAAUCUAGAUGGGUGUUUUCAUAGUUUUGCACUUUUUUAUAGCCUAUUUUUGAAGAUUAGCACAUUUGCAAAAUGAUUGAUUCAGUCUUUGCCUAAUCCAGUGAGUGUUACAGAAAGCUUGCUGGGAUAUAAAUGUAAGUCUUAAAAAAGGGAUGUGGUAACAGCGGGCUGAAUUUAAAACUAUUAAAAAAAAUCACCAAAUCUAUGUGAAAACAAAUCAAGUUUGUGUUUACGCUGAAAUUUUUGGGCUUUUGUAUCUCCUUUCCAACUACAUUUCUGAACGCAUAAAAAUAGCAAUUUUUUUUAACAGCCCUUUGUACUUCAAAGUAUGUUUGUGUCCAUCAGUAUUAACUAUUGGAAUACUACUGCUUUUGUAUGUUUUUUUCCUUUGAGACAACAGUACAUUUAAUAGAGGUACAAUUCGUUGAAUUUUUGUUGAUGUAUUUAUUUUAUUCCAGUUUGAUUUAUUUUAAUUGUUACUUGUCAAACAGUAGACAUUACUUAUUUUAUUUAUGAUAUAUUUCA